UACGUAGGGUGCAAGCGUUAAUCGGAAUUACUGGGCGUAAAGCGUGCGCAGGCGGUUUUGUAAGUCUGUCGUGAAAUCCCCGGGCUCAACCUGGGAAUUGCGAUGGAGACUGCAAGGCUAGAAUCUGGCAGAGGGGGGUAGAAUUCCACGUGUAGCAGUGAAAUGCGUAGAUAUGUGGAGGAACACCGAUGGCGAAGGCAGCCCCCCUGGGUCAAGACUGACGCUCAUGCACGAAAGCGUGGGGAGCAGAACGAUGA
rnacentral:rRNA from 1 species